GUUUGGUUAAGUUAGAAAGGGCGCACGGUGGAUGCCUUGACACUAGGAGUCGAUGAAGGACGGGACUAACGCCGAUAUGCUUCGGGGAGCUGUAAGUAAGCUUUGAUCCGAAGAUUUCCGAAUGGGGAAACCCACCAUACGUAAUGGUAUGGUAUCCUUAUCUGAAUACAUAGGGUAAGGAAGACAGACCCAGGGAACUGAAACAUCUAAGUACCUGGAGGAAGAGAAAGCAAAUGCGAUUUCCUGAGUAGCGGCGAGCGAAACGGAACAUAGCCCAAACCAAGAGGCUUGCCUCUUGGGGUUGUAGGACAUUCUAUACGGAGUUACAAAGGAACGAGGUAGACGAAGCGACCUGGAAAGGUCCGUCGUAGAGGGUAACAACCCCGUAGUCGAAACUUCGUUCUCUCUUGAAUGUAUCCUGAGUACGGCGGAACACGUGAAAUUCCGUCGGAAUCUGGGAGGACCAUCUCCCAAGGCUAAAUACUCCCUAGUGAUCGAUAGUGAACCAGUACCGUGAGGGAAAGGUGAAAAGCACCCCGGAAGGGGAGUGAAAGAGAUCCUGAAACCGUGUGCCUACAAAUAGUCAGAGCCCGUUAAUGGGUGAUGGCGUGCCUUUUGUAGAAUGAACGGCGAGUUACGAUCCCGUGCGAGGUUAAGCUGAAGAGGCGGAGCCGCAGCGAAAGCGAGUCUGAAUAGGGCGUUUAGUACGUGGUCGUAGACCCGAAACCAGGUGAUCUACCCAUGUCCAGGGUGAAGUUCAGGUAACACUGAAUGGAGGCCCGAACCCACGCACGUUGAAAAGUGCGGGGAUGAGGUGUGGGUAGCGGAGAAAUUCCAAUCGAACCUGGAGAUAGCUGGUUCUCCCCGAAAUAGCUUUAGGGCUAGCCUUAAGUGUAAGAGUCUUGGAGGUAGAGCACUGAUUGGACUAGGGGUCCUCAUCGGAUUACCGAAUUCAGUCAAACUCCGAAUGCCAAUGACUUAUCCUUAGGAGUCAGACUGCGAGUGAUAAGAUCCGUAGUCAAAAGGGAAACAGCCCAGACCGCCAGCUAAGGUCCCAAAGUGUGUAUUAAGUGGAAAAGGAUGUGGAGUUGCUUAGACAACUAGGAUGUUGGCUUAGAAGCAGCCACCAUUUAAAGAGUG
rnacentral:rRNA from 1 species